AAAACAAAAAAGAAAGGAAAAGAAAUUUGCCAGCCAAUUGUGCCUACCCACCACCACCACGAAGCUGCUAAGCUUUGAGCUCAAUGAAGUAAAGGUUGUUUGGCUAAACGGAAUAACAUGGACACAAUACAGUACCAUCUUGCCUGUUGGAGGAACCACUCAAAAGAGAAGCAAAGGGCCACUUAUAUCGGUGACAUCAACAUCAGAAGUUCUGAGCAUGCGUCCCACAUCAAGCGAUUCUCUAGGAAAUUAUUUUAUGGUUUGUUUAUUAGUAUUGCAUCUUCUAAAAGGAAUUUCAGAUUUUAAACAUAAGAAUAAAAAAGUAAAUGUUGUUAUAUUGGGUACUCCUAGUCAGAAGAUCGGAGCAGCGUUUGCCUCUAAUGUUAAGACAUUAACUCUGAGUUACUUUGAAAAAGUUAUCUGACGCACUGGAGGUCUGUUGGGAGAACUAAUGAACAGCCUUCUCUGGUUGUCUUGGUUUUCUGUUAAGUGAAUACAACGGCAUACAUCUUAUUGCCAUCACCUAAAAUUAAUUUCAGUAUGGGCAAUAUAGAAAAAAACCAAACCCAUAUCCCCCAAGGAAACAAACAAAAGGUCUGAAUGUUAGUGCUCAGAGGCACAGAACAUACUGCAUGUAUCUGAGACUUAAUUAUGUGUUUCAGUAACAGCCCAUCUUUGUCUACACAGAGCAGAAGCUCUGGGUCACCGUUGAAUUGUAUCCUCUGACUCAACUGUUGUAUAAUAAAUAUUAAUAAAAUACGUAGGGACUUCUGUGAUGAGUGCUCAAGACGACACAGGCUUAACAGGAAUAAUAGCAGGAAGAGGGCUGAAGGGUUGGGAGUUCUACAUCUAACAUAAAAAUAUAGAAGUCAUUCGCUGUUUGAGAGAACCAGAAACUUAGUGAGAUAGAAAAGAACCUUCCCUAUUAACUUAAUCAAAAGAAAUGUAUGUGCAUUAGCAGUUCAUUUUCACGUGGCCAAGUUCUCAGUAGAAAUAACAUUAAAGUCACCUUUCAAGGUUACAAAAACCCUAUACUAGAAUGCAUAGUAUCUCCCAGGAGAGGCCCAGCCUCGGUAAUGUCCGGUGGAAAAAUCUAAACCAGGCGGUUUUCAUUGUUUGGGGGCUUUGGUCUCUAUUGUUGUCCUGACCCUUUGCCUCACACCUAAAACACAGUAGUUUUCUGGGGACCAAGCAGAGCAACAGAAAGAUGCUGAGGCUCUCUUACAGUGGCUGCCUCGAGCAUGUUCAGUGUUCGCAACACUAAAAUCUGAUGUCAGGAGUAAAGUGAAUGCUAACUGCUGUUAUACUAAAACAAACAAACAAACAAACAAAUAAAAUGUGAAUUCUGAAACAUG